rnacentral:rRNA from 1 species
GAUGAACGCUGGCGGCGUGCCUAAUACAUGCAAGUCGAGCGAACAGACGAGGAGCUUGCUCCUCUGACGUUAGCGGCGGACGGGUGAGUAACACGUGGAUAACCUACCUAUAAGACUGGGAUAACUUCGGGAAACCGGAGCUAAUACCGGAUAAUAUAUUGAACCGCAUGGUUCAAUAGUGAAAGACGGUUUUGCUGUCACUUAUAGAUGGAUCCGCGCCGCAUUAGCUAGUUGGUAAGGUAACGGCUUACCAAGGCAACGAUGCGUAGCCGACCUGAGAGGGUGAUCGGCCACACUGGAACUGAGACACGGUCCAGACUCCUACGGGAGGCAGCAGUAGGGAAUCUUCCGCAAUGGGCGAAAGCCUGACGGAGCAACGCCGCGUGAGUGAUGAAGGUCUUCGGAUCGUAAAACUCUGUUAUUAGGGAAGAACAAAUGUGUAAGUAACUAUGCACGUCUUGACGGUACCUAAUCAGAAAGCCACGGCUAACUCCGUG